rnacentral:rRNA from 1 species
GACGAACGCUGGCGGCGUGCUUAACACAUACAAGUCGAACGAAGGCUGCAGCAAUGUAGCCUUAGUGGCGGACGGGUGAGUAACGCGUGGGCAACCUGCCUUGUACUGGGGGAUAACACUGGGAAACUAGUGCUAAUACCGCAUAACAUCAUUAUGUGGCAUCACAUGAUGAUCAAAGGAGCAAUCCGGUACAAGAUGGGGCCGCGUCCGAUUAGCUAGUUGGCGGGGUAACAGCCCACCAAGGCGACGAUCGGUAGCCGAACUGAGAGGUUGAUCGGCCACAUUGGGGCUGAGACACGGCCCAGACUCCUACGGGAGGCAACAGUGGGGAAUAUUGGGCAAUGGGGGAAACCCUGACCCAGCAACGCCGCGGGAAGGAAGAAGGCUUUCGGGUUGUAAACUUCUUUUAGCAGGGACGAAGGACGUGACGGUACCUGCAGAAAAAGCAACGGCUAACUACGUGCCAGCAGCCGCCGUAAGAC